rnacentral:rRNA from 1 species
GCUAUACAUGCAAGUCGAACGAACUCUGGUAUUGAUUGGUGCUUGCAUCAUGAUUUACAUUUGAGUGAGUGGCGAACUGGUGAGUAACACGUGGGAAACCUGCCCAGAAGCGGGGGAUAACACCUGGAAACAGAUGCUAAUACCGCAUAACAACUUGGACCGCAUGGUCCGAGUUUGAAAGAUGGCUUCGGCUAUCACUUUUGGAUGGUCCCGCGGCGUAUUAGCUAGAUGGUGGGGUAACGGCUCACCAUGGCAAUGAUACGUAGCCGACCUGAGAGGGUAAUCGGCCACAUUGGGACUGAGACACGGCCCAAACUCCUACGGGAGGCAGCAGUAGGGAAUCUUCCACAAUGGACGAAAGUCUGAUGGAGCAACGCCGCGUGAGUGAAGAAGGGUUUCGGCUCGUAAAACUCUGUUGUUAAAGAAGAACAUAUCUGAGAGUAACUGUUCAGGUAUUGACGGUAUUUAACCAGAAAGCCACGGCUAACUACGUGCCAGCAGCCGCGGUAAUACGUAGGUGGCAAGCGUUGUCCGGAUUUAUUGGGCGUAAAGCGAGCGCAGGCGGUUUUUUAAGUCUGAUGUGAAAGCCUUCGGCUCAACCGAAGAAGUGCAUCGGAAACUGGGAAACUUGAGUGCAGAAGAGGACAGUGGAACUCCAUGUGUAGCGGUGAAAUGCGUAGAUAUAUGGAAGAACACCAGUGGCGAAGGCGGCUGUCUGGUCUGUAACUGACGCUGAGGCUCGAAAGUAUGGGUAGCAAACAGGAUUAGAUACCCUGGUAGUCCAUACCGUAAACGAUGAAUGCUAAGUGUUGGAGGGUUUCCGCCCUUCAGUGCUGCAGCUAACGCAUUAAGCAUUCCGCCUGGGGAGUACGGCCGCAAGGCUGAAACUCAAAGGAAUUGACGGGGGCCCGCACAAGCGGUGGAGCAUGUGGUUUAAUUCGAAGCUACGCGAAGAACCUUACCAGGUCUUGACAUACUAUGCAAAUCUAAGAGAUUAGACGUUCCCUUCGGGGACAUGGAUACAGGUGGUGCAUGGUUGUCGUCAGCUCGUGUCGUGAGAUGUUGGGUUAAGUCCCGCAACGAGCGCAACCCUUAUUAUCAGUUGCCAGCAUUAAGUUGGGCACUCUGGUGAGACUGCCGGUGACAAACCGGAGGAAGGUGGGGAUGACGUCAAAUCAUCAUGCCCCUUAUGACCUGGGCUACACACGUGCUACAAUGGAUGGUACAACGAGUUGCGAACUCGCGAGAGUAAGCUAAUCUCUUAAAGCCAUUCUCAGUUCGGAUUGUAGGCUGCAACUCGCCUACAUGAAGUCGGAAUCGCUAGUAAUCGCGGAUCAGCAUGCCGCGGUGAAUACGUUCCCGGGCCUUGUACACACCGCCCGUCACACCAUGAGAGUUUGUAACACCCAAAGUCGGUGGGGUAACCUUUUAGGAACCAGCCGCC